rnacentral:rRNA from 1 species
UACGUAGGUGGCAAGCGUUGUCCGGAUUUACUGGGCGUAAAGAGCGCGCAGGCGGUCGUUCAAGUCGCGUGUGAAAGCCCCCGGCUCAACUGGGGAGGGUCACGCGAUACUGAUCGACUGGAAGGCAGGAGAGGGUAGUGGAAUUCCCGGUGUAGUGGUGAAAUUCGUAGAUAUCGGGAGGAACACCAGUGGCGAAGGCGGCCUUCUGGACGAACACUGACGCUGAGACGCGAAAGCGUGGGUAGCAAACAGG